UAGGUAAUCUUCGGCAAUGGGGGGAACCCUGACCGAGCAACGCCGCGGGAGUGAAGAAGGUUUUCGGUUCGUCAAGCUCUGUUGGUAAGGAAGAACGAGUGUGAUAAUGGAAAGUUCAUGCUGUGACGGUACUUAACCAGAAAGGGACGGCUAACUACGUGCCAGCAGCCGCGGUAAUACGUAGGUUCCGAGCGUUGUCCGGAUUUAUUGGGCGUAAAGCGAGCGCCGGCGGUUAGCAAAGUCUGAAGUGAAAGGCAGUGGCUCAACCAUUGUAGGCUGUGGAAACUGUUUAACUUGAGUGCAGAAGGGGGGGGUGGAAUUCCAUGUGGAGCGGUGGAAUACGUACAUAUAUGGAGGAACACCGGUGGCGAAAGCGGCUCUCUUGUCUGUAACUGACGCUGAGGCUCGAAAGCGUGGUGAGCGAACAGG
rnacentral:rRNA from 1 species